rnacentral:rRNA from 1 species
GACGAACGCUGGCGGCGUGCUUAACACAUGCAAGUCGAACGGAAAGGCCCUGCUUGCAGGGUACUCGAGUGGCGAACGGGUGAGUAACACGUGGGUGAUCUGCCCUGCACUUCGGGAUAAGCCUGGGAAACUGGGUCUAAUACCGGAUAUGACCUUCCAUGUAGUGUGGGGGGUGGAAAGAUUUAUCGGUGUGGGAUGAGCCCGCGGCCUAUCAGCUUGUUGGUGGGGUAAUGGCCUACCAAGGCGUCGACGGGUAGCCGGCCUGAGAGGGUGGACGGCCACAUUGGGACUGAGAUACGGCCCAGACGCCUACGGGAGGCAGCAGUGGGGAAUAUUGCACAAUGGGCGGAAGCCUGAUGCAGCGACGCCGCGUGGGGGAUGACGGCCUUCGGGUUGUAAACCUCUUUCGACAGGGACGAAGCUUCGGUGACGGUACCUGUAUAAGAAGCACCGGCUAACUACGUG